rnacentral:misc_RNA from 1 species
AGCAUCAAAUUAUCUCUACAUCAUAAUAUCAAAACAUCUAUCCAACCCUUCAAAUUUUAAAUUUUUCAGAAAUAAUUCUUAUUCAGACAACUCAUACAAAUAAUUUAUAUCUCACAAAAUACAAGUCCAAAAUUUACAAAAUUUUGGCACAAAAGCCUCAACAUCCUAAAUAUUAUCUGUACUAAAUUUCAUUAUUUUCAGAGUACUCUAACUAUUUAUUUUUCUCAAAU